rnacentral:sRNA from 1 species
UACAGAUUUGUCAGAAUCCAAAGUCAGCAAACAAUCCCUAUAGACUUAAAAAAUCCAGAUUUGAAAGAAUCCAUAGUCAGCAAACCAAUUCUUACAGACUUU